rnacentral:rRNA from 1 species
AUGAACGCUGGCGGCGUGCCUUAGGCAUGCAAGUCGAACGGCCCGCAAGGGCAGUGGCGGAAGGGUGAGUAACGCGUGGGAACGUACCAUAUGGUGGGGGAUAGCUCUCCGAAAGGAGGGGUAAUCCCGCAUAAGCCCGUAAGGGGAAAGAUUUAUCGCCAUUUGAGCGGCCCGCGUCCUAUCAGUUUGUUGGUGAGGUAAUGGCUCACCAAGACUAUGACGGGUAGCUGGGCUGAGAGGUCGGCCAGCCACAAUGGAACUGAGACACGGUCCAUACAUCUACGGAUGGCAGCAACCGGGAAUCUUGGACAAUGGGGGAAACCCUGAUCCAGCGACGCCGCGUGGGGGAAGAAGGCCUUCGGGUUGUAAACUCCUUUUGCCAAUCAUAAUGAUUUGGAGAAUAAGCACCUGCCAACUACGU